AUUUCAGGACAGCCAGGGUUAUACAGAGAGACCCUGUCUUGAAAAAAAAAAGAGUUUUAAUAAAAUAAAAAGCCAUGCAAUCGUGGCAUUGCCACAGCCCACUUCAGAUACCGCACUUUGCAAGUAGGUCUUUUCGCAGAAGGGGAAGGAUGGGGAGCUACUAAAUCUUAGUCAUUUUAAAAGCCUAGCAACAGAGCUAUAACAAAAGCUAUGACAUAUAUUAAAUGCUUUUCACUGGGGACUGUGCCAAACGCACACCACAAUGGUGAACGCAGCAGCAUCUGGGCAGCGCGAGCUCUCGGCCUUGUUAACAAGGUGAUGUGCGCACCAUUGUGCUUGUUGGGAGUGAAGAAGACUAUCCCAGCCAGUUGGCCUAUAGUAGUCGGCUGACAGAAGCCCGCACCCAGUCUUACAAAGAAAGUGGUAGCCAGAAGGAAAUGCAGUUAUUUGUUUAGAUGAGAAAAAUUAUUCCCCUCGGAAUAAACUGCCUGUGCUCCUAAACAGAGAAAAGCAUCCUGUGUGCGAACUAUUUCUACCAUCGGAAUCUCGUGCUUGUGAUUGAGUCACAGAGCUAAUCGGAGUUUCAUGAGAGCAUUAACAUCACGCAGGAACCAGUGUACUAGAGUCACAGACAAGGGGUCCUAGCUAUAACCCCAGUGCCACUCAGGAGUAUGAAGCAAGAGGAUUUCUACUUCUAGGCCAGCCUGGGGCAUAUAGUGAAUUCUUCAUCUCAAAAAUAAAUGGGGAUGGGUUGUCAGAUAGAUAGAUAGAUAGAUAGAUAGAUAGAUAGAUAGAUAGAUAGAUAGAUAGAUAAUUAUGUGCAUAUUAAUUUCACCCAUGCUUUGCCCAAUGGAGUAAUCUUUAGCUCUAGGGAAUACAGUACCUCCAGUGGAUACCUGAUACCACAGAUGAUAUUAAAUCCUACACACACACACAUACACACACACACACACACACACACACACACACACACACACACCUAUAAUAGUUUGAUUCAUAAAAGACACAGUAAGACAUUAGCAAUGACUAGCAAUACACUAAUCCCACGUAGGAUAAAAGGGCUAUGUGCACAGCCAGCUGCGAUGACACGUGCCUCUGAUCCCAGCACUUGUGGGUAAUGGUACACCAAUCUCUGUGUUAGAGGCCGCCAAGGAGUUCAGGCCAGCCAGGGCUACAUAAUGAGGCCCUAUUCAAAAGAAGGAAAAAAAUAAGUGCGCUGUCCCCUUCCUCCAAGUAUCUUACUGUGUUUUCUCAUAAGAGACACCCUGUCCAGCUCCUCUUGGGCAUAUCUGAGUUGCCGACAUAACUCCAUUUGUGCUUUGAACAGGAUUAAGUAAAACCAAAGGUUACCUGCAUCCAAGUGCUGGCCACAUUCCUGUAGCGCUGACGAUCGCCAGGGCUCCUGAGUGAGUAACAGUCGUGACAUACACAGUCCACAUCAAUGGAGUGCAGGAUGACUCAUGCUCUGAGCUGCUCAGAACAUGACAUUUUCAGUUUCCCUCAUUACUCAGAACUGCAUGCAGGUCAGGUCCCAGGGCCUAGCAUGGUUUGGAGAAUUAUCUAGUAUUACUUUGCCUCAGUAGCAAAUGUUCGUCUCCUGCCGUUACAGAAAUGCCAUCCCUCUGUUUCAAGAACCUUAUUCCCCCAUUCAAUAUACCCAGUAGCUCUAAAAUCCUCAUUUUCUGUUUCCUCAGGAUUUCAUACAGUCGCUGACAGCACCUCUGCCUUCUCUCUAUUACAAACGAGGCUUGUGUGUAACUGAGCAGCUCUCUGUGUCUCACACGGAACUGAAAGGAACACCUAAGCAGGUAAUUACCCUGAGUUUUUGCCAUGUUCUCUUACGUUAUUGACCAGCCCUUGUAAUAACUGUUCUGAACAGCCAUCAGCCCAGAAUCUUAUAAACAGGAGCACUGGGCAUAGUGACGUUUUGCAAUUGGAUUUUGCAGUGCAGCAUGGAAAGACACAAGCAGAAAGGGAUUUCUAAAUAGAGAACUGCAAACAUGAGCGCUACUUAAAAGGAUAAAAGGAGGAAUUACAUCAGGGAGGUUGUGGCAUGGCUCAACGGCAAAGCAUGAAACCUGGAAUUUGGAUCCCCAGCAGCUACGUUAAAAAGGAAGGCAUGGUGGUGUGCAGCUCCCAGCACUGAAGGAGACAGAAAGGCAGAAAGCCCCUUAAAGUCCACUGGCUAGCAGGCAAAAGGUUGGUCAGUGUGGGUAGCUGACCACUGAGGAUGAGAGGCGGCCAGACUGAAGACCAGCGUCUGUCUCCCCUUCCCUGCUAUUUUACUCAUCAAAGACUCCAGUGAGCUUAUGCACAAGACUGGGGUGUUGGCUAUGGCCACCCUGCCAGCAGGAAUGGCUGGCUUUUCUAGCUUCAGUAUGAAAAGGUCUUAUGGAAACUAUUCAGUGGUUUAUACAGGCUUACUUCCCAUUCUUCAGGUCAGCACAUGAGGCCAAGAAAACAGGUGCCAUUUUAGCAUCACACCCAGACUUAUGGCUGAAGUGAGGAAGGCACCCUCCCAGAAACAAUGCUUACCUCGUAGGUUUCCUUUCUCAAUGUGUGAACAAUACUUCAUAGGUCAGUCAUAUGCUAUAGCUCAGUGACUAGGCAACCUGAGCCUUUCUUAAGACAGGGUCAUUUAUGUAACGCCAGCUGAUCUUGAACUGUCCGAGUUCAGGCUGAGGCUGGCCAGACGCUGAUCCUCAGGCCUCACUCAACCUCUGAGUACUGGAACUACAAGCGUGUGUCACCAGGCCUGGCUCGGCAACUCUACUCUUCUGGGGGACUUUGAGCAUGUCUAUGUCUAGGUUGUCACUUCAGGAAAAGUCUGUGACAGGGCUGAUAGUGGAAAGCUAGAAUCCUGAAAGCAAUGAGGAGAGAUGCAUGUGCAAUGAUUCUGAAUCCUCUCAGUUACCCACGCCCCUCUCUCACAAGUCUGCAUGCUGGUCAGAGGGACGAACCAGAAUGAAACUUUCUACCAGCUUCUAGGCAAUGUUGGAAUCCACUGAGGAUUCAUUGUUACCAGUCUUUCUACUGGAUUCGGGUUUUUAUAGUGUUGGGGUGUUUUCUUUUAGUUGGGAAAACAGUACAGAAUUUGAAGCACUAACCAAGAAAAUCAGUUUUACCUUGAGACCAGAGAAAUGGCUCCGUGGUUAAAAGCACAAGAGGACAGGCUCUGAUUACUAGCACCCAUGUGGUGGCUCACAACCAUCUGUAACUCCAGUCCUGAGUGACUGGAUGGCCUGGUCUGGCGUAACUGGCACUGCGUGCAUGUAGUUGCACAAGCAUACAUGCAGGCACACACACAGGCAUAAAUAAACAUCCUUUUUAAAAAAAA
rnacentral:sRNA from 1 species